UACAGAGGUCUCAAGCGUUGUUCGGAUUCAUUGGGCGUAAAGGGUGCGUAGGCGGCGCGGUAAGUCGGGUGUGAAAUCUCGGGGCUUAACUCCGAAACUGCAUUCGAUACUGCCGUGCUUGAGGACUGGAGAGGAGACUGGAAUUUACGGUGUAGCGGUGAAAUGCGCAGAUAUCAGGAGGAACACCUAUUGCGAAGGCAGCUCGCUGGGACGUAACUGACGCUGAGACGCGAAAGCGUGGGGAGCAAACAGG
rnacentral:rRNA from 1 species